CAGAUUGGAAACGCUGGGCGGGCAGGGCUUAACACAUGGCAAGGUCGAGGCGGGUAACAGGGGGUAGGCUUGCUACCCGCUGGACGAGGCGGGCGGGACGGGGUGAGUAAUGGCUUAGGAAUCUGCCCAGGUAGUGGGGGGAUAGCCCGGGGGAAACCCGGAUUAAUACCGCAUACGUCCUACGGGGAGAAAGCAGGGGGAUCUUCGGGACCUUGCGGCUAUUGGAUGAGCCUAAGUCGGAUUAGCUAGUUGGUGGGGGUAAAGGGCCUACCAAGGGCGACGAUCCGUAGCUGGUCUGAGAGGAUGAUCAGCCACAUCGGGACUGAGACACGGCCCGAACUCCUACGGGAGGCAGCAGUGGGGAAUAUUGGACAAUGGGGGCAACCCUGAUCCAGCCAUGCCGCGUGUGUGAAGAAGGCUUUCGGGUUGUAAAGCACUUUCAGUAGGGAGGAAAACCUUAUGGCUAAUACCCAUGAGGCUUGACGUUACCUACAGAAGAAGCACCGGCUAACUCCGUGCCAGCAGCCGCGGUAAUACGGAGGGUGCAAGCGUUAAUCGGAAUUACUGGGCGUAAAGCGCGCGUAGGUGGUUUGGUAAGCGAGAUGUGAAAGCCCCGGGCUUAACCUGGGAACGGCAUUUCGAACUGUCAGACUAGAGUGUGGUAGAGGGUAGUGGAAUUUCCUGUGUAGCGGUGAAAUGCGUAGAUAUAGGAAGGAACACCAGUGGCGAAGGCGGCUACCUGGACCAACACUGACACUG
rnacentral:rRNA from 1 species